CCUACGGGGGGCAGCAGUGGGGAAUAUUGCGCAAUGGGCGAAAGCCUGACGCAGCGACGCCGCGUGAGGGAUGAAGGUCUUCGGAUCGUAAACCUCUGUCAGCAGGGAAGAACGGUCACUGUGCUAAUCAGCAGUGAAUUGACGGUACCUGCAAAGGAAGCACCGGCUAACUCCGUGCCAGCAGCCGCGGUAAUGCGGGGGGUGCGAGCGUUAAUCGGAAUUACUGGGCGUAAAGCGCUCGUAGGCGGUAUGUCAAGUCAAGGGUGAAAUCCCCGCGCUCAACGUGGGAACUGCCGUUGAAACUGGCAAACUGGAGUUGGAGAGAGGAUAGUGGAAUGCCAGGUGUAGGAGUGAAAUGCGUAGAUAUCUGGAGGAACAUCAGUGGCGAAGGCGACUAUCUGGCACAUAACUGACGCUGAGGAGCGAAAGCGUGGGUAGCAAACAGGAUUAGAUACCCGUGUAGUC
rnacentral:rRNA from 1 species